GGAGAGAUGGCUCAGUGGUUAAGAGCACUGAGAGCUCUUCCAGAGGACCUGGGUUCAACUCCCAGCACCUACA
rnacentral:tRNA from 1 species